rnacentral:lncRNA from 1 species
CGGAUCCGUGCGCCGAGGGGUUGCUAAGGGUGAAAGUUUGCCGUGAGUUGGCUCACUCGGGGCCAGGGCGCGGGCGGCUGCGGGGACAGCGCACCGCCAGCACUACCGCAGCACCGGGCCCGCCCCGCGCCGCCGGGGACAAGGCAGGGAGGGGACGGACGGGACGGGGCAGAGCAGAGACCCGACGGCAGCGCCCACGGCCCCCGCGACAGCCGCCAGCAGUCGCCGGCCCUGGAGCCGAGGACGAAGUCUAUUUGGAGCCAAAUCUUGUCUAUGUUCCUGUCACUUUGUCACUUUUAAUACACUGCCCUGAC